CCCUUAGAUGAUUUGGGCUGCACGCGCGCUACACUGACCCUAACAAUGAGCAACUGUCUGGCCUGAGAUGGCUGGGUAGCCUUUUCAACCCAUGUCAUGAUUGGGCUAGAUUUUUGUAAGUCUUGAUCUCUAACGAGGAAUCCCUAGUAUGCGUGAAUCAUCAAUCCAUGCAGAUUAUGUCCCUGCCCUUUGUAUACACCGCCCGUCGCUCCUACUGAUUGGGUGAUCCGGUGAGCUGUUCGGCCAUAGCAAUGUUUCUUGAGCAGGGCAAUGAAUGUUUCGCAAACCUUGCCACUUAGAGGAAGGAGAAGUCGUAACA
rnacentral:rRNA from 1 species